ensembl:piRNA 21ur-8088 ncRNA
UCCAAUACGAGAAACAAAACC